rnacentral:rRNA from 1 species
UACGUAGGGGGCAAGCGGUGUCCGGAUUUAUUGGGCGUAAAGAGCGUGUAGGCGGUCAGGUAAGUGAGAUGUGAAAUGCCCCGGCUCACCCGGGGACCGGCAUCUCAUACUGCUUGGCUUGAGUACGGGAGAGGAUGUGGGAAUUCCUGGUGUAGCGGUGAAAUGCGUAGAUAUCAGGAGGAACACCGGUGGCGAAGGCGCACAUCUGGCCCGAUACUGACGCUGAGGCGCGAAAGCUAGGGGAGCAAACGGG